rnacentral:lncRNA from 12 species
CUGUAUUCGUGUGUCUUGGGCUUUGCCAGUGGUGGGCAGGGUUGUUCCUAGAGACACACAGUCUAAAGCUGUGGCUGUUUAAUGAGGAGGGUGCAAGCAGCAGACCCAGUCCAUCCAUAUCCUGGACCAGCUGUGGAUGUCCAAAGUCUCAGAUGCUUCCUGUGGGACUGUCACUCAACAUCAGCAAUCUAACAUGGCUCGUGAACUCAAGCUGGGUUCAAGAACUGUACAGUCUGGACUUCACCCAUUAUUGUUGGCUGAAAG